GUACUAGCCUGCCGAUUCCUCCUUCUUGUAGAACCGUAAUGCCAUUAAUUUGGUGUUGCGGGGAAACAGGACUGUUACUUUGAAAAAAUUAGAGUGUUUAAAGCAGGCUAGCGCCUGAAUACAUUAGCAUAGAAUAAUGAAAUAGGACGUUCGAACCUAUUUUGUUGGCUUCUAGGAUUGACGUAAUGAUUAAUAGGGAUAGUUGGGGGCAUUAGUAUUCAAUUGUCAGAGGUGAAAUUCUUGGAUUUAUUGAAGACUAACUACUGCGAAAGCAUUUGCCAAGGAUGUUUUCAUUAAUCAAGAACGAAAGUUAGGGGAUCGAAGACGAUCAGAUACCGUCGUAGUCUUAACCAUAAACUAUGCCGACUAGGGAUCGGAUGAUGUUAAUUUUUUAAUGACUC
rnacentral:rRNA from 1 species